AAGAUUUUAAGUUAAACAAAACCAAACUAUUAAUUUUCAAAAUUAAUCAUAAUCUACACUGAUUAAAUCUUA
rnacentral:tRNA from 1 species